rnacentral:rRNA from 1 species
AUUGGGUUUAAAGGGAGAGGAGGCGGCAUGGUAAGUUAGAUGUGAAAGCCCGGGGCUUAACCUCGGGAUUGCAUUUAAAACUAUCAAGCUAGAGUACAGGAGAGGUAAGUGGAAUUCCUAGUGUAGCGGUGAAAUGCGUAGAUAUUAGGAAGAACAUCAGUGGCGAAGGCGACUUACUGGACUGAAACUGACGCUGAGGCUCGAAAGCGUGGGGAGCGAACAGGAUUAGAUACCCUGGUAGUCCACGCCGUAAACGAUGAGUGCUAGGUGUCGGGGGGGAACCCUCGGUGCCGCAGCUAACGCAAUAAGCACUCCACCUGGGGAGUACGAUCGCAAGAUUAAAACUCAAAUGAAUUGACGG